GUUGUAUGGUUAAGUGACUAAGCGUACACGGUGGAUGCCUGGGCAGUCAGAGGCGAUGAAGGACGUACUAACUUGCGAUAAGCGCAGAUAAGGCAGUAAGAGCCGUUUGAGUCUGCGAUUUCCGAAUGGGGAAACCCAACUGCAUAAGCAGUUACUGUUAACUGAAUACAUAGGUUAACAGAGCAAACCGGGGGAACUGAAACAUCUAAGUACCCCGAGGAGAAGAAAUCAACCGAGAUUCCGGUAGUAGCGGCGAGCGAACCUGGAUUAGCCCUUAAGCACUCGGUGAAGUAGGUGAACAAGCUGGAAAGCUUGGCGAUACAGGGUGAUAGCCCCGUAACCGACGCUUCAUCGAGCGUGAAAUCGAGUAGGGCGGGACACGUGAUAUCCUGUCUGAAUAUGGGGGGACCAUCCUCCAAGGCUAAAUACUCCUGACUGACCGAUAGUGAACCAGUACCGUGAGGGAAAGGCGAAAAGAACCCCUGUGAGGGGAGUGAAAUAGAACCUGAAACCGUGUACGUACAAGCAGUAGGAGCACCUUCGUGGUGUGACUGCGUACCUUUUGUAUAAUGGGUCAGCGACUUAUAUUCAGUGGCAAGGUUAACCGUAUAGGGGAGCCGUAGCGAAAGCGAGUCUUAACUGGGCGCUCAGUCUCUGGAUAUAGACCCGAAACCGGGUGAUCUAGCCAUGGGCAGGUUGAAGGUUGAGUAACAUCAACUGGAGGACCGAACCGACUAAUGUUGAAAAAUUAGCGGAUGACUUGUGGCUAGGGGUGAAAGGCCAAUCAAACUCGGAGAUAGCUGGUUCUCCCCGAAAGCUAUUUAGGUAGCGCCUCGGACGAAUACUACUGGGGGUAGAGCACUGUUAAGGCUAGGGGGUCAUCCCGACUUACCAACCCUUUGCAAACUCCGAAUACCAGUAAGUACUAUCCGGGAGACACACGGCGGGUGCUAACGUCCGUCGUGGAGAGGGAAACAACCCAGACCGCCAGCUAAGGUCCCAAAGUAUUGCUAAGUGGGAAACGAUGUGGGAAGGCUCAGACAGCUAGGAUGUUGGCUUAGAAGCAGCCAUCAUUUAAAGAAAGCGUAAUAGCUCACUAGUCGAGUCGGCCUGCGCGGAAGAUGUAACGGGGCUAAGCAAUACACCGAAGCUGCGGCAAUGUCUUUUAGACAUUGGGUAGGGGAGCGUUCUGUAAGCCGUUGAAGGUGAAUCGUAAGGUUUGCUGGAGGUAUCAGAAGUGCGAAUGCUGACAUGAGUAACGACAAAGGGGGUGAAAAACCUCCUCGCCGGAAGACCAAGGGUUCCUGUCCAACGUUAAUCGGGGCAGGGUGAGUCGACCCCUAAGGUGAGGCCGAAAGGCGUAAUCGAUGGGAAACGGGUUAAUAUUCCCGUACUUCUGACUAUUGCGAUGGGGGGACGGAGAAGGCUAGGUGGGCCAGGCGACGGUUGUCCUGGUUCAAGUGCGUAGGCUUGAGAGUUAGGUAAAUCCGGCUCUCUCUAAGGCUGAGACACGACGUCGAGCUACUACGGUAGUGAAGUCAUUGAUGCCAUGCUUCCAGGAAAAGCCUCUAAGCUUCAGAUAGUCAGGAAUCGUACCCCAAACCGACACAGGUGGUCGGGUAGAGAAUACCAAGGCGCUUGAGAGAACUCGGGUGAAGGAACUAGGCAAAAUGGUACCGUAACUUCGGGAGAAGGUACGCUCUUGAUGGUGAAGUCCCUCGCGGAUGGAGCUGACGAGAGUCGCAGAUACCAGGUGGCUGCAACUGUUUAUUAAAAACACAGCACUGUGCAAAAUCGCAAGAUGACGUAUACGGUGUGACGCCUGCCCGGUGCCGGAAGGUUAAUUGAUGGGGUUAGCGCAAGCGAAGCUCUUGAUCGAAGCCCCGGUAAACGGCGGCCGUAACUAUAACGGUCCUAAGGUAGCGAAAUUCCUUGUCGGGUAAGUUCCGACCUGCACGAAUGGCGUAAUGAUGGCCACGCUGUCUCCACCCGAGACUCAGUGAAAUUGAAAUCGCUGUGAAGAUGCAGUGUACCCGCGGCUAGACGGAAAGACCCCGUGAACCUUUACUACAGCUUGGCACUGAACAUUGAACCUACAUGUGUAGGAUAGGUGGGAGGCUAUGAAGACGUGACGCCAGUUGCGUUGGAGCCGUCCUUGAAAUACCACCCUUGUAUGUUUGAUGUUCUAACUUAGACCCGUUAUCCGGGUUGAGGACAGUGCCUGGUGGGUAGUUUGACUGGGGCGGUCUCCUCCCAAAGAGUAACGGAGGAGCACGAAGGUGGGCUAAUCACGGUUGGACAUCGUGAGGUUAGUGCAAUGGCAUAAGCCCGCUUAACUGCGAGAAUGACGGUUCGAGCAGGUGCGAAAGCAGGUCAUAGUGAUCCGGUGGUUCUGUAUGGAAGGGCCAUCGCUCAACGGAUAAAAGGUACUCCGGGGAUAACAGGCUGAUACCGCCCAAGAGUUCAUAUCGAC
rnacentral:rRNA from 1 species